CCAAAAGUUAUUUUCAUUCUACUACUCUUGAUAUAUAUGGGUAAAAAAGACAAGACGUCAAAAACUUCACACAAAUAUAUGGUUUUCUGGAGAAACAAACAAAGAAGAAAAGACUAUAAAUUAUAAGCAAUAUUCAUGCUGCAAGGCAACGCGGGGUCUGCUAUAAAUAAACAUAUGUACAGCAGAGGUGACUCACAUCCUUGAUCUAAACCAGUGUGCUUAUAUUGCUUCUUUUAUAUUUCUAGUCAGUGAAAGAUACAGGCAGUGACCUAGGUAUGUAAGUACAAACCCACCCUUGUAUGAAACAAGAAUAUGCCCUCCAAUUAGAAGAAUCA